GAGGAUAUAGCUCAGUGGUAGAGUGCAUGCCUAGCAUAUAUAAGGUCCUAGGUUCAAUCCCUAGUACCUGCA
rnacentral:tRNA from 1 species